rnacentral:rRNA from 1 species
AUUGAACGCUGGCGGCAUGCUUUACACAUGCAAGUCGAACGGUAACAGCACUUCGGUGGCUGACGAGUGGCGAACGGGUGAGUAAUACAUCGGAACGUGCCUAGUAGUGGGGGAUAACUACUCGAAAGAGUAGCUAAUACCGCAUGAGAUCUAAGGAUGAAAGCAGGGGACCUUCGGGCCUUGCGCUACUAGAGCGGCUGAUGGCAGAUUAGGUAGUUGGUGGGAUAAAAGCUUACCAAGCCGACGAUCUGUAGCUGGUCUGAGAGGACGACCGGCCACACUGGGACUGAGACACGGCCCAGACUCCUACGGGAGGCAGCAGUGGGGAAUUUUGGACAAUGGGCGCAAGCCUGAUCCAGCAAUGCCGCGUGCAGGAUGAAGGCCUUCGGGUUGUAAACUGCUUUUGUACGGAACGAAAAGCCCUCUUCUAAUACAGGAGGGUCAUGACGGUACCGUAAGAAUAAGCACCGGCUAACUACGUG